AACGUAGGAGGCGAGCGUUAUCCGGAUUCACUGGGCGUAAAGCGCGUGCAGGCGGUUCGGUAAGUUGGGCGUGAAAUCUCUUGGCUUAACUAGGAGAGGUCGUUCAAUACUACCGGGCUUGAGAGUGGUAGAGGAAGAUGGAAUUCCCGGUGUAGUGGUGAAAUGCGUAGAUAUCGGGAGGAACACCAGUGGCGAAAGCG
rnacentral:rRNA from 1 species